ACAUUAAUAUAAAAUUCGACCCC
rnacentral:miRNA from 1 species